UGAAAUCUGGCACCUUCGGUGUCCGAGUUGUAAUUUGAAGAAGGUAACUUUGGAGUUGGCUCUUGUCUAUGUUCCUUGGAACAGGACGUCACAGAGGGUGAGAAUCCCGUGCGAUGAGAUGUCCAACUCUAUGUAAAGUGCUUUCGAAGAGUCGAGUUGUUUGGGAAUGCAGCUCUAAGUGGGUGGUAAAUUCCAUCUAAAGCUAAAUAUUGGCGAGAGACCGAUAGCGAACAAGUACAGUGAUGGAAAGAUGAAAAGAACUUUGAAAAGAGAGUGAAAAAGUACGUGAAAUUGUUGAAAGGGAAGGGUUUGAGAUCAGACUUGGUAUUUUGUAUGUCUUGCUUUCGGGUGGGGCCUCUGCAGUUUACUGGGCCAGCAUCGGUUUGGACGGUAGGAUAAUGACAUUGGAAUGUGGCACUACUUCGGUGGUGUGUUAUAGACUUUGUUGAUACUGCCUGUCUAGACCGAGGACUGCGUCUUUGACUAGGAUGCUGGCAUAAUGAUCCUAAACCGCC
rnacentral:rRNA from 1 species